UACGUAGGGGGCAAGCGUUGACCGGAUUUAUUGGGCGUAAAGAGCGUGUAGGCGGCCAUACAGGUCAGCUGUGAAAACUCGAGGCUCAACCUCGAGACGUCGGUUGAAACCGUAUGGCUAGAGUCCGGAAGAGGAGAGUGGAAUUCCCGGUGUAGCGGUGAAAUGCGCAGAUAUCAGGAAGAACACCCGUGGCUAAGGCGGCUCUCUAGUACGGUACUGACGCUGAGACGCGAAAGCGUGGGGAGCGAACAGG
rnacentral:rRNA from 1 species